rnacentral:rRNA from 1 species
UACAGAGGGUGCGAGCGUUAAUCGGAAUUACGGGGCGUAAAGCGCGCGUAGGCGGCUUUGCAAGUCGGGUGUGAAAUCCCCAGGCUUAACCUGGGAACUGCAUUCGAGACUGCAUUGCUAGAGUAUGGGAGAGGGAAGUGGAAUUUCCGGUGUAGCGGUGAAAUGCGUAGAUAUCGGAAGGAACAUCAGUGGCGAAAGCGACUUCCUGGACCAAUACUGACGCUCAUGUGCGAAAGCGUGGGGAGCAAACAGG